rnacentral:rRNA from 1 species
UACGGAGGGAGCUAGCGUUGUUCGGAAAUACUGGGCGUAAAGCGCACGUAGGCGGCGCAGCAAGUCAGGGGUGAAAUCCCGGGGCUCAACCCCGGAACUGCCCUUGAAACUGCAGUGCUAGAAUCUUGGAGAGGCGAGUGGAAUUCCGAGUGUAGAGGUGAAAUUCGUAGAUAUUCGGAAGAACACCAGUGGCGAAGGCGACUCGCUGGCCCGAUACUGACGCUGAGGCACGAAAGCGUGGGGAGCAAACAGG